rnacentral:rRNA from 1 species
GAUGAACGCUGGCGGCGUGCCUAAUACAUGCAAGUCGAGCGAACAGACGAGGAGCUUGCUUCUCUGAUGUUAGCGGCGGACGGGUGAGUAACACGUGGAUAACCUACCUAUAAGACUGGGAUAACUUCGGGAAACCGGAGCUAAUACCGGAUGAUAUUUUGAACCGCAUGGUUCAAUAGUGAAAGACGGUCUUGCUGUCACUUAUAGAUGGAUCCGCGCUGCAUUAGCUAGUUGGUAAGGUAACGGCUUACCAAGGCAACGAUGCGUAGCCGACCUGAGAGGGUGAUCGGCCACACUGGAACUGAGACACGGUCCAGACUCCUACGGGAGGCAGCAGUAGGGAAUCUUCCGCAAUGGGCGAAAGCCUGACGGAGCAACGCCGCGUGAGUGAUGAAGGUCUUCGGAUCGUAAAACUCUGUUAUUAGGGAAGAACAUAUGUGUAAGUAACUGUGCACGUCUUGACGGUACCUAAUCAGAAAGCCACGGCUAACUACGUG